rnacentral:rRNA from 1 species
UACGUAGGUGGCAAGCGUUGUUCGGAAUUAUUGGGCGUAAAGGGCGCGUAGGCGGUUUGUUAAGUCGGCUGUGAAAGCCCGGGGCUCAACCCCGGAGGGUCAGCCGAUACUGGCAGACUAGAGUACGGAAGAGGUAGCUGGAAUUCCCGGUGUAGCGGUGAAAUGCGCAGAUAUCAGGAGGAACACCGGUGGCGAAGGCGGUUCUCUGGGCCUUACCUGACACUGAGGAGCGAAAGCGUGGGGAGCGAACAGG